rnacentral:rRNA from 1 species
UACGUAGGUGGCAAGCGUUAUCCGGAUUUAUUGGGUUUAAAGGGUGCGUAGGCGGCGAGUUAAGUCAGCGGUAAAAGCCCGGGGCUCAACCCCGGCCCGCCGUUGAAACUGGCAGUCUCGAGUUGGAGAGAAGUAUGCGGAAUGCGCGGUGUAGCGGUGAAAUGCAUAGAUAUCGCGCAGAACUCCGAUUGCGAAGGCAGCAUGCCGGCGGCGAUCUGACGCUGAGGCACGAAAGCGUGGGUAUCGAACAGG